GACGAACGCUGGCGGCGUGCUUAACACAUGCAAGUCGAACGAUGAAGCUGGAGCUUGCUCUGGUGGAUUAGUGGCGAACGGGUGAGUAACACGUGAGUAACCUGCCCUGGACUCUGGGAUAACCCCGAGAAAUCGGAGCUAAUACCGGAUAGGACCUUGGAUCGCAUGAUCUGGGGUGGAAAGUUUUUCGGUCUGGGAUGGACUCGCGGCCUAUCAGCUUGUUGGUGAGGUAAUGGCGCACCAAGGCGUCGACGGGUAGCCGGCCUGAGAGGGUGACCGGCCACACUGGGACUGAGACACGGCCCAGACUCCUACGGGAGGCAGCAGUGGGGAAUAUUGCACAAUGGGCGCAAGCCUGAUGCAGCAACGCCGCGUGCGGGAUGACGGCCUUCGGGUUGUAAACCGCUUUUAGUAAGGAAGAAGCCGCAAGGUGACGGUACUUGCAGAAAAAGGACCGGCUAACUACGUGCCAGCCGCCGCGGUAAAAC
rnacentral:rRNA from 1 species